rnacentral:siRNA from 1 species
UCUACUCGAUACCCUCUCUCCAUU